rnacentral:rRNA from 1 species
AUUGAACGCUGGCGGCAUGCCUUACACAUGCAAGUCGAACGGCAGCACGGGUGCUUGCACCUGGUGGCGAGUGGCGAACGGGUGAGUAAUACAUCGGAACAUGUCCUGGAGUGGGGGAUAGCCCGGCGAAAGCCGGAUUAAUACCGCAUACGAUCUACGGAUGAAAGCGGGGGACCUUCGGGCCUCGCGCUAUAGGGUUGGCCGAUGGCUGAUUAGCUAGUUGGUGGGGUAAAGGCCUACCAAGGCGACGAUCAGUAGCUGGUCUGAGAGGACGACCAGCCACACUGGGACUGAGACACGGCCCAGACUCCUACGGGAGGCAGCAGUGGGGAAUUUUGGACAAUGGGCGAAAGCCUGAUCCAGCAAUGCCGCGUGUGUGAAGAAGGCCUUCGGGUUGUAAAGCACUUUUGUCCGGAAAGAAAUCCUUGGCCCUAAUACGGUCGGGGGAUGACGGUACCGGAAGAAUAAGCACCGGCUAACUACGUG